rnacentral:rRNA from 1 species
GGCGGCGUGCCUAAUACAUGCAAGUCGAACGCUUUUUCUUUCACCGGAGCUUGCUCCAUCGAAGAAAAAAGAGUGGCGAACGGGUGAGUAACACGUGGGUAACCUGCCCAUCAGAAGGGGAUAACACUUGGAAACAGGUGCUAAUACCGUAUAACACUAUAUUCCGCAUGGAAGAAAGUUGAAAGGCGCUUUUGCGUCACUGAUGGAUGGACCCGCGGUGCAUUAGCUAGUUGGUGAGGUAACGGCUCACCAAGGCAACGAUGCAUAGCCGACCUGAGAGGGUGAUCGGCCACACUGGGACUGAGACACGGCCCAGACUCCUACGGGAGGCAGCAGUAGGGAAUCUUCGGCAAUGGACGAAAGUCUGACCGAGCAACGCCGCGUGAGUGAAGAAGGUUUUCGGAUCGUAAAACUCUGUUGUUAGAGAAGAACAAGGAUGAGAGUAAAAUGUUCAUCCCUUGACGGUAUCUAACCAGAAAGCCACGGCUAACUACGUGCCAGCAGCCGCGGUAAUACGUAGGUGGCAAGCGUUGUCCGGAUUUAUUGGGCGUAAAGCGAGCGCAGGCGGUUUCUUAAGUCUGAUGUGAAAGCCCCCGGCUCAACCGGGGAGGGUCAUUGGAAACUGGGAGACUUGAGUGCAGAAGAGGAGAGUGGAAUUCCAUGUGUAGCGGUGAAAUGCGUAGAUAUAUGGAGGAACACCAGUGGCGAAGGCGGCUCUCUGGUCUGUAACUGACGCUGAGGCUCGAAAGCGUGGGGAGCGAACAGGAGUAGAUACCCUGGUAGUCCACGCCGUAAACGAUGAGUGAUGGGUGUUGGAGGGUUUCCGCCCUUCAGUGCUGCAGCUAACGCAUUAAUCACU